UACGGAGGAGUCAAGCGUUAUCCGGAAUUAUUGGGCGUAAAGCGUCCGCAGGUGGCGAUUCAAGUCUGCGGUCAAAGACCGGGGCUUAACCCCAGAAAGGCAGUGGAAACUGAAGUGCUAGAGUGCAGUAGGGGUAGAGGGAAUUCCCGGUGUAGCGGUGAAAUGCGUAGAGAUCGGGAAGAACAUCGGUGGCGAAAGCGCUCUGCUGGACUGCAACUGACACUCAGGGACGAAAGCUAGGGGAGCGAAUGGG
rnacentral:rRNA from 1 species